AGCGAACGCUGGCGGCAGGCCUAACACAUGCAAGUCGAACGAAGUCUUCGGACUUAGUGGCGGACGGGUGAGUAACACGUGGGAACGUGCCCUUUGGUACGGAAUAACUCAGGGAAACUUGAGCUAAUACCGUAUGUGCCCUUCGGGGGAAAGAUUUAUCGCCAUUGGAGCGGCCCGCGUCUGAUUAGCUAGUUGGUGAGGUAAAGGCUCACCAAGGCUACGAUCAGUAGCUGGUCUGAGAGGAUGAUCAGCCACAUUGGGACUGAGACACGGCCCAAACUCCUACGGGAGGCAGCAGUGGGGAAUCUUGCGCAAUGGGCGAAAGCCUGACGCAGCCAUGCCGCGUGAAUGGUGAGGGUCUUAGGAUUGUAAAAUUCUUUUACCAGGGACGAUAAUGACGGUACCUGGAGAAAAAGCCCCGGCUAACUUCGUGCCAGCAGCCGCAGUAACAC
rnacentral:rRNA from 1 species